rnacentral:misc_RNA from 1 species
AUUGGUUGNCUUUGUNNUUNNNNCCUNNUNUGGGUAGGGAAGUUGUCCCUCGAUUGAUAUUUGCUUGCCUUUCNNGACAUUUUUUUGUCGUUUGGGCAGCCGAAAUGAUGGCGAAAUCCUUGUGUAGGUGCGUGGUUGAAUGGCCUUGUUGCUAUCACUUGGAUUUUUGCCGCCUCUCACGGAUGCAGUGCCUAGUGCUAGCUCUGCGUGACUUUACUCCGCAGACUUUGGGAGGUUNNUUGUACUAAUCAUUGCGAUCAGAUGCCGUUUGUCGUGUUGCUUGUUUGGCACGCAAAUCGUAUUGUUCUGCCUGGAGUCGAGAUGAUGAAAGUCAGAAUGAAGUGUCUGGGGUGNNNAUNUAUACAUGGGAAUGCCUCUUUGACCGAAAGAGCAACGAUUACCUACAAACUCAUGCAAAGGCUCGCCCGUUUGGGUUGGUGCUGGAGCUGACGCGCCGGCUCUCGUUAAGACUG